rfam:Nematocida parisii ERTm3 unplaced genomic scaffold supercont1.2, whole genome shotgun sequence.
GCGCAUGUGGUUUAAUGGUAUAAUUCUCGCUUGCCAUGCGAGAGACCCGGGUUCGAUUCCCGGCAUGCGCA